GACGAACGCUGGCGGCGUGCUUAACACAUGCAAGUCGAACGAAGUGGCGAACGGGUGAGUAACGCGUAGGUAACUGCCUGGUAGCGGGGGAUAACUAUUGGAAACGAUAGCUAAUACCGCAUACUACCAGAUGGACCUGCGUUGUAUUAGCUAGUUGGUGGGGUAACGGCUCACCAAGGCAACGAUACAUAGCCGACCUGAGAGGGUGAUCGGCCACACUGGGACUGAGACACGGCCCAGACUCCUACGGGAGGCAGCAGUGGGGAAUAUUGCACAAUGGGCGCAAGCCUGAUGCAGCCAUGCCGCGUGUAUGAAGAAGGCCCUAGGGUUGUAAAGUACUUUCAGUCGGGAGGCGUUACCGGCAGAAGAAGCACCGGCUAACUCCGUGCCAGCAGCCGCGGUAAUAC
rnacentral:rRNA from 1 species